GACGUAGGGCGCGAGCGUUGUCCGGAUUUAUUGGGCGUAAAGAGCUCGUAGGCGGCUUGUCGCGUCGACUGUGAAAACCCGCGGCUCAACUGCGGGCUUGCAGCCGAUACGGGCAGGCUAGAGUUCGGUAGGGGAGACUGGAAUUCCUGGGUGUAGCGGUGAAAUGCGCAGAUAAUCAGGAGGAACACCGGUGGCGAAGGCGGGUCUCUGGGCCGAUGACUGACGCUGGAGGAGCGAAAGCGUGGGGAGCGAACAGGA
rnacentral:rRNA from 1 species